GGAGACAUGGCUCAGUGGUUAAGAGCACUGGCUGCUCUUUAAGAGGAUCUGGGUUCAAUUCCCAGCACCUACA
rnacentral:tRNA from 1 species